CUGAAAUGCAGGCUUCGGGAGCGCCGUGGGGAGAACACGCCUCCUUGAACACCAGACGGUGUAUUACACUCACUUUAGUGAGUGUCACCCAACAAACAGCUCAGCAGCUCCUGUGUGCUGUUACCCCUCACAACAACCUUGCCAGACAUUUUAAAGCUACUCACACCUAGAAGCGGGCUAUGGCAGAGAAGAUAACUCUGGAGCGAUUCGUUCAUGCCAACAGUGACCGAGCACGAGGGCUGAAGACGACAAGGUUUUACUAUCGAGUGACAUUCUGGCUCCGCAGGCCCCUGACAGUCUGGAGAGUUCGUUUGCCCGGACUCGUCACGUCGUUGUCUGGAAACACACACACACGGACGGCGGCUCUGGGCUCUGCAUGGUCCGUGGGCUCCUGCCCACCGGGCAGCCAGCACGGUGCUUGGCCUUGACCCCAGAGACGACGCAACCCUAACUUGGCUUCAGCUUCUGUAACUGGGACUUGACCAGGCCAAGGAGGAACCCAGGCCAGGGGAACCCCCCGCUUUUGAAAUUCUGAGGGUCAAGGAAACUGGUGCAUGAUGGGUGCUUCCCCCUGCCUGCCUCCUGAAGCCGUACGCCUCAGCUUGCUUGUGGCCGUGUUUAUUCGGGAAGAGGAAGACUA